ACAUCAUAUUCAGAUAUUGUAGUGAAUUUGGUAAGUACUCAUCACUGUCUUAGAUGGAAUUCAUUUUACAUUUGCAACAUAUAAUGCUUAUAAUUGUACAACAUUAUUUGGAACGUCAAUAUGGUCAUCCUAUUGAAUCUGAUGAACUAUUUAUGGCCACCCACAUAAACAAGAAGGGUGAUUGAGUUGAUACUCGUGUCCGCGAAACUUAUGUAAGUUAUUGUUCUAAGUCUUUUUAAAUUUUUAUUUUAAUUUCAUAACAUUUCCAUCUCCUAAUGAAUUAUGUAAGAAAACUAUCAUGAGCGCUCGAGGACCCUUCAAGUAAAUAGUUCUCAAGACUCUAGCACCGAUGUCCAUCAAGUUGAUCCAGCAACAAAGCUUCAAACUGGAAAGGAAGCUGCCGAAUGAAAGAGUAGAGGUCGAGUGUAUGGUACAACAAACUUGGUUGGUAACUUCCGCCAAGGAGUCUCUUCGCUCACUCAACCCUUUGUAUAUAAUGCUUCACAAUCUGAUCAGUUGACUAAAAAUCAACAACUUCGUACAAAACUUAGUAUGUGGGGUUAAAAGUAUGCACAAUUAGAGGACGAAAUGAAGGUCAUAAAGGAAAAAAUUUUCUCAGUGUUGCAAAGUGAUAAUGCUUCCACUAGCACAAGUUAAUUCCACACAAGUAUGAUCCAGAGCAUGAUGACCAGCCCUUCCUUUAAAGUGCAUCCCAGACUGUUUGUAUUUUUUUACAGGUUUUUACAUAUCACAUCACUACUAUUUCUACUUCAUGGGAUGCAUUUUAUAUUUUCAAUUGCAUUAUUUUUAUGUAAUUGUGUUAUCGAACAUUUUAAGUUCUAGUACCUUUAGUUAAUUUCUAAAGUACAAUUUUA
rnacentral:lncRNA from 1 species